rnacentral:lncRNA from 1 species
UCUGACAAAAUAGCUUCAAAAAUCACUUUUUCUUCUUCCCUAUUGCCGAUGAGCUUUUGUUUCACACCACAUCCCAUGCCCCAUGUGCUGUUGCUUGUUUUUUCAUGCACACACCACCCAAAGGCUCUCUUUCCCAUAUUAAAUAGGCCCUUAAUAUGAGUCCUCAAAGGACUUCUUUUCCUUUUCUUAUUUAUUUUGGUUUGAU